GCCAGAGUUUUGUUUCAAAACCACGAUGUUAAGAGUUUUUCAUGUUUUCCUACGAGAUUGAUAAAGUUAAGAUUCGGCUAGAACCUUAUUCUUCUUUUUUAAUUUUUGCAGUACAAGCAUACACAUGUUAACAACUUUGAGAAGAGUAGAUUGGCUAAGUAGAGCACUGGAAGCCAACUUUACGUUAAGAACUUAGAAUAUAGAGUUUCUGAAGUGUGCAUAAAUAGUAUACUACAUGUAUAUAUAAGAUCAUUUGGUUUUGUUUAAGAGAAAAAUGGGGAUAACAUUUCUCGCUAUGAAGAUGUCAUUUUAAUGAAUUAU
rnacentral:lncRNA from 1 species